GGACCCGUGGUUCAGUGGUAGAGCGGUCGCUUCACAUGCGACAGGCCGAUGGUUCGAAUCCAUCCGGGUCCA
rnacentral:tRNA from 1 species